GGCCAGUUUUGCAUCGUGCAAUAUGUCGAUGUAGAAUUUGGUCAUCCGUAAGGGAAGCCAAUUCGAACUUCAUUGGUCGACUGGGGGAACUUACAAUUUACUGUGAAAAAAUUAGAGUGUUUCAGGCAGGCAAUCGCUUGGAUACUCCAGCAUGGAAUAAUGGAAUAGGACUUUGGUCUAUUUAGUGGGUUGAGAUCAAAGUA
rnacentral:rRNA from 1 species